UUGGGCGUUGGGGAAGGGGGCGCAUGCGCGCGGCGAGAAACGCGGGUGACGUACGUACGUAAACCUUCAAACGGGCGGAAGGGCGGUUUGUCUGGGGGCCCAAGACUAAGUUGCUCCACUGUUUUUCUGUGUGGGGUGUUUUUGUUUUUAAUGGAGCGAAGGAAUCAGUCAGCCACUUGCUGACAUCUCUCAAAUAUAGCGUUGGUUAAGGGGAGGGUAAGGACUACAAAUCCCAGCAUGCCAUGCGGCCAAGCCUCGUUACCGCCCGCUUGCCUGCUCUCAAAAGCUUUCAGCCUCUUGUAAAAGGAGGAAGAGCGGUGCAUUCUGGGAACUGCCAUGUGUUGUCCCGGGGCGAAUUGGGAAUUGCAGUCCGCUUUCCGCGCUUGGGUUGCAUGAAGGAAGCCAAAAGUGAACCCGUUGCUUGCUCUCUAUCUGGUCCGCCGGCUGAAAGUGCGCAUCCUUACAUUGUGCAGCGCUUGCCAAAUGCAAUUUACUCAGCGGAUGUUGGUCCUGAUAGGGGUUUCUGCUGUUUUUUUCAUAGCACAGGUUGCCCGAAAUCUGAUCCGGACGACGUGACCCACCCACUCGGAAGUAAAUCGCACUGAAUUCAAGCUGUGUGACUCCCAAGUGACGGGCAACAAAAGAACACAGUAGUUCUGCUGGGCGUGGUCGGUUGCGCUUGCUUUUGGCCCCGAGAUCUGAUCAUAGCUGUCAACUUUUCCCCUUUUCUUGCUAGGAAUCCUAUUCGGAAUAAGGGAAUUUCCCUUAAAAAAAGGAAAACGUUGACAGCUAUGGAUCUGAUGCGUGUGCGUCAAUUAAUGUUGCAGUAGCAUGUGCUUUCUCCUCACCCGACACCCAUUCUAAGAAAACAAAACAACAAACAAAAACCACCAGCAGGGUGAGUCGCUGCUGUUCAUUUCUGGGAGCCCCUUCUCCAUAAGGACAGAAACAGCACUUUGACAUUGUCUGCUGUCUCUGCCUUUGGCUGGACGUUUUACGGAAGGUACAAAGGCACUGCCAUAACUGCCCAUGCUGCAAACUCUUCAAUCUUCGGACCCAUUUCCUCCUCUGGACACAAGACGUUUGCACUGGUCUUUCUUCACUCUUGAUAUAGGGAACUUGUGGCCCCUCAGAAAUUGUUCAGACGCCCAACAUCUGCAGUCAUCAUGGCCAGUGGUCAGGGAAUGAUGGGAGUCCGUGUCUAGCAACACCUAGAGGGCCAAAUAUUGUCCAACCCCAAUCCCCUUUUCCAAUAUGCUUAGUAUAAAUUAUUAGGAACUUGAGCAGGCCAGUUGCCCUUUCCCCCGCAAUUGCUCCAGUUUCCUUUCUUUUCGCUUCAUUACAUUGAUUACAGCUUUGUCUUAGGAAAAUAAUCAAACUUGAAUUUUUCUCUUAUCUCUCAUCAGAUGAGAGUUUGAACAGUGCAUCUGUGUAAACAAUAGAGGCUGUUAUGUAGUUAGUUAUUUUGUACAAUUUAUAGAAUAUCUCAGACCUUAAAGAGGCUGCUCCUUCUCAUAUUGCCAGUAUUUAUCAGGGAAACAUGAGUGAAUGGCUAGCUAUCAUUUGUAAUGUUCGGAGACAACUCACAUUGCUUAAAAGCAGAUUGACAGCAGGAUAUAUGAAGACAUUUUCAGGGCCAUUUUCUAUUUCUGCUGGUUGGAGUUGUGCAACCUGACACCAUAAUCUCCGUGUCGGUUGUAUAGAUAUCCUCAACUACUGUCACUCUUUCUGACAGCUUUCAUAGCUUUACUGACAAUGCUCAUCCAAGGAAUACAAUCAAUGCCAGAUCUACAAAUUUUGCCAAAGGGGGCAAAAGUAUGCACUGUCACCCUGUUUUGUGCUGACUGCCCUCCCUCAGGAAGAAAAACUCCGCAUUUCUGUCUAUUGCUCCAUAAAUCUGUAGAUACAGAUUUGUUUUAAGACCAUUAAAAACAAUCUGCAGCAGAACUGAAAGAGCAGCAAGACUCCUGGAUUCAUGUUUUUUUAAACUACCGUAUUUGAGGGUUUUUUAAACAAUCAAGCAGUGUAUAAUUUUUAUGAAAUAAACAAAUAAAUAAUUAACAUCCAUAUACUGAGGGACUAGAAACCUAGUAAAUGAAUAUAUCUUCUAGUUGGGGUAAACAUGUGCAUAUACAGUAUAUUCCAACUAGAAGAACUAAGGUUAACAGCAGCAGCAGCCCAAACCCCUGGAAUGGGGCAUUCCAAGGAAGGUGUUGGGCAAGUCCCAGAUCUGCUGAAUCCUGAACUAGUCCCACUGCCAGGGGCAAAACUAGGCUUUAUUUCAUCUGGGUCAAAGACCUAAUUUGUCACGCGCACACACACACCCAAUGCACAUUUGCGUACACACACAGGCUGGGAGUCUCAAUGGCACCCUUCUGGAGCCUUCACCUGGGGCAAAAGACCAUGUCUAGCUCCGCCCCCCCAGUAGCUACGACUCUACUCCCUGCCAUCACAUGACAGCAUCAGGCCUGAUCUGUUGUCAGGGACUGGGCAGAAAAGGAGUGGUGGAGACUACCUCACCAGCCUGACCCUUCCAGAGAAGAAGGAGACAGUUCAGAAUUACAACAGGGGUUUGAGGGAGACCACAGCUCAGAGGCAGAUGAGGAGAAAAGCUGGGAAAUAAUGGGAGAGGAGGAGGAAGAAAAAGAAGCACCAGGGGAGCGACAGCUGAUGGACUUGGUGUCUUUAGAAAACAAUCCAGACUUCCCCUUUCUCAGAACCUGGCGGGCAUUGAAAGUAGGAGAGCAAAGAGCUCAAAGGCAGAGGGCAAGUAGCAGCACCCGUAGCGAUGAACAGAAAAGGGCAGUGGGAGGUAGUGAGGAGAGUGACUGAGGGGAGAGACAAAAAAAUUCAACAGCUGGAUGCACUGCAUCAAGCUCUGCCUGGUGUUGUGGAUGGGAAGCAGCAGAAUAAGCAAUGAAUAUCCAUGACUGAGGAAACGCAGCAAUGUUUGGAAGCGAGUGUGUCAAAUGUGCACAUAGAAAAAAACAGAUUUGAACAAUCUAUUUGCAAUAUAAGGCCCCUGUCUGGAAGAAUUCUUCACACUUGCUCACACUUUUCUGAAUAGUGCAGAACUGAUGUUUUGCUCUCUUUGCAAAGCCAGUGAACAAUCUACAGUAGGGACAUUCUUCAGUUGUGUGUGUUUUCAAGCACUGGUACCUUCCGCAUGUCUUCUGAGUGCACCACUGCGCAUUGCUCCGGUUUCUGCUAGUCUGAGUACCAGUCAUUGUAUUUCAGGGAUCCACCGACAAACAUUAACUGAUAGGCCAGUCUCCUCUUACAAGGUAAAAGUCUUACUUCCCUAUUAUUGUUAUUAUUGUUCUAGUCUCUCCUUUUCCUUUUAUAUUUGUUACACCGUUAAUACGCUUCCCCUAUUAUUCCCUUUGCCUGAUACACAUUUCCUUCUUUAGUGUCAAAAUAAGGUGACGGUGAAUCGCGAGUCCCUCCUGAGAUGAGUACUCCUGCAAUCUAGCAACCUUUGCCACGAAAAACAUACACUCGUGAAUGGGCAAGCACUUAAGAGCGAUUCACCGCCGAACAUUAUAGAAAAUAGACCUACACGGGUUCAAAGAAUACAAGACCAAGUUCCCCUUUCCUCGGUUUUGGUCCAGCAAGUACGGCGCUCUAAUUUUAUUCCUAUUAUGUGGUUAAGAGGCGAGAAAAUGAAAGCUUCCUAAAAGGCCCCCAAACCUCUGCUGUUGCAGUGGUUUCUAAAAGCAAGAAUGGAAACACCGAAAAGAUCGGCAGAAAAGGAACCAUUUAAAGAAACAUUGUAGGCUACUGUAUAUUCUGCCCUUAUUCUCUGCCCUUCCCAUUAGUUUGCAUUUGACAGGGAGAAAGGCAAGGGAACAUGUCUGAUCGUUCAAAAUAUAAUACAGCCCUGUUUCUAAAGGAA